CCGGCCCCGGCCCCGACCCCGGCCCCGGCCCCGGCCUGCACGACGCGCUCGUGCCCGACACGCACGACCUCAGCGCCACGCUCGUGCUGCACGACACGCUCACCGACAGAGCGCUGUGUCGCCAGGUGGUGCUGGUGUCGGUGCGGCCGGCUCAGUUAUGACGAGUGUAGCGGAUCACCUUGUACCUUAUAUUUAUUGUAAUAUGUAAUAUAUAUAUAUCACUACUCGUAAAUAAAAUAUUCAUAUGUGAUAUCUAGA